UGUGCCAUAAAUAAAGUGCAUUAAGUGGAAUGUAUAACACUAUGCAACAGCCAAAAAUUACAAGAACCAAACAUACUUUUUUGGAUAGAUUUGGGGACCCAUAUGACGGAAAACAUUUUUUUAUGUGUAGGAUGCAGUAAUGGGAUGUUUGCUUGGAUACCGAAGGCUUCAGUCAGACCCAUGCACAUACACAAAAUACACAGAGACUCUGGCGAGAUAUGCGCGCCAAUAUUUCACACUAUGGAAUAAUAAAGAAGCACUAUCUUGGAUACCUCCCAACAAUCCACUUUCACAACUGAUAUAAGGAUCACACGGAUCGGAUCCAUGAAGCAUUCAAGGCCAUUGGACGUCUUUAUGAUCAGAGCUAGCAUUCUGUUUGGUCAUUUCUGAAGUCAUUAUAAUUAAGUUAUUAUUAACUUAUAAACUUGUGAAUUUAUCGGAAUAUCUCUAAUGUAACAUUGCUGCUAACAUUAUCGCAAUGUUAGCAUCCUCUAUUUUAAUGCUGCUGUAAGCGAAAGUGUUGCAGGUGUUGUCAAAAAAUGCAUUAAAUAAGUUGUCGAUUGAAAGUGAACUUAAA